rnacentral:rRNA from 1 species
UACGUAGGUGGCGAGCGUUAUCCGGAAUGAUUGGGCGUAAAGGGUGCGUAGGCGGCCUGCUAAGUCUGGAGUGAAAGGUACCGGCUCAACCGGUACAGGCUCUGGAAACUGGCGGGCUAGAGAGCAGGAGAGGGCGGUGGAACUCCAUGUGUAGCGGUAAAAUGCGUAGAUAUAUGGAAGAACACCAGUGGCGAAGGCGGCCGCCUGGCCUGUUACUGACGCUGAGGCACGAAAGCGUGGG